rnacentral:rRNA from 1 species
AUACGAAGGGUGCAAGCGUUACUCGGAAUUACUGGGCGUAAAGCGUGCGUAGGUGGUUGUUUAAGUCUGUCGUGAAAGCCCUGGGCUCAACCUGGGAAUGGCGAUGGAAACUGGGCGACUAGAGUGUGGCAGAGGGUAGUGGAAUUCCUGGUGUAGCAGUGAAAUGCGUAGAGAUCAGGAGGAACAUCCGUGGCGAAGGCGACUGCCUGGGCCAACACUGACACUGAGGCACGAAAGCGUGGGGAGCAAACAGGAUUAGAUACCCUGGUAGUCCACGCCCUAAACGAUGCGAACUGGAUGUUGGGUGCAAUUUGGCACGCAAUAUCGAAGCUAACGCGUUAAGUUCGCCGCCUGGGGAGUACGGUCGCAAGACUGAAACUCAAAUGAAUUGACGGGG